rnacentral:rRNA from 1 species
UAGGGAAUUUUCCACAAUGGGCGAAAGCCUGAUGGAGCAACGCCGCGUGCAGGAUUAAGGCCCUCGGGUCGUAAACUGCUUUUAUCUGUGACGAAUAUGACGGUAACAGAAGAAUAAGGGUCGGCUAACUACGUGCCAGCAGCCGCGGUCAUACGUAGGACCCAAGCGUUAUCCGGAUUUACUGGGCGUAAAGAGUUGCGUAGGUGGUAAUGUAAGCGAAUAGUGAAAUCGUCUCGCUCAACGGGACGGCUGUUAUUCGAACUGCAUAACUUGAGUAUGAGAGAGGUAGCUGGAAUUUCUAGUGUAGGAGUGAAAUCCGUAGAUAUUAGAAGGAACACCAAUGGCGAAGGCAGGCUACUGGCUCAUUACUGACACUGAGGCACGAAAGCGUGGGGAGCAAACGGG